rnacentral:rRNA from 1 species
GAUGAACGCUAGCGGCAGGCCUAAUACAUGCAAGUCGAACGGUGUCUUCGGACAUAGUGGCGCACGGGUGCGUAACACGUAUGCAACCUACCUUACAUUGGGGGAUAGCCUUUCGAAAGGGAGAUUAAUACCGCAUAAGACAGUAGCUGGGCAUCCAGCAGCUGUUAAAGAUUUAUCGAUGUAAGCUGGGCAUGCGUCCAAUUAGCUAGUUGGUGAGGUAACGGCUCACCAAGGCGAUGAUUGGUAGGGGAACUGAGGGGUCAAUCCCCCACACUGGGACUGAGAGACGGACCAGACUCCUACGGGAGGCAGCAGUGUGGAAUAUUGGUCAAUGGACGCAAGUCUGAACCAGCCAUGCCGCGUGCAGGAUGACGGUCCUAUGGAUUGUAAACUGCUUUUGUACGAGAAGAAACACUCCUUCGUGAAGGAGCUUGACGGUAUCGUAAGAAUAAGGAUCGGCUAACUCCGUGCCAGCCGCCGCGGUAACAC